GAAAACUUCUGAAUUUGUGAACCACAGUGUCGUUGUUGGGCAAAGUGCAGAAGUUGCUGGUGGCACCAGGUGAGGUGCGGGAACUGCAGGGACCUCCCAUCGUUCAGGUCCUGCAUGGGCCACUUGGGUGCUCCUGUCUGAAGGCAUUUUGUGAGAAAAGGGGAGUUUUAGGUUGGAUACGAGGAGGAAGUUUUUCCCCCAGAGGGUGGUGACGCACUGAACAGGUUGCCCAAGGAGGCUGUGGAUGCCCCAUCCCUGCAGGCAUUCAAUGUCAGGCUGGAUGUGGCUCUGAGCAGCCUGGUCUGCUGGUUGGCGACCCUGCACAUAGCAGGGGGUUGAAAUUACAUGAUCUUUUUUGUCCUUUUCAACCCAGGCCAUUCUAUGACUCUAUGAAAAUAGCAAAAACCGGAUGUGGGCAGGAGCAGGUAACUGUGUGCUGAAGAAAUCAGGUGUUUGGGGAUUAAAGAAAUCUCCUAAUUGUUACACUUGAGGAAGAUGUGAAAAAGUUCUCCACUUCCUACUGUUUCCAAGCGCACUCAGCUCAUUGCCCAGGUAGGCAUGUUGAUAACAGUAAGCUGCACGAAGCAAUAUGAACCAAAGUGAUGCAAAUGUGUAAAAGGACCCCAAUUCCACUCACUUCACACCAGGUUAAGGCAAGGUACCUUUCCUUUGCUUCUUAUCUUAGAAGAUUCCUCUACAGCAGUAUUUUUCUAAUUGACUUUAUUAUAAUUUCCCUUCUUUUAUUCGAUAGGAAGUGCACAGCUGUUUGUGAGGGUGGAUAGUGAUAGGACAAGGGAGAAUGGUCUUAAACUGAGACAGGGGAGGUUUAGGUUGGAUAUUAGGAGGAAGUUUAGGAGGCAUUCAAGGCCAGGCUGGAUGUGGCUCUGGGCAGCCUGGUCUGCUGGUUGGCAACCCUGCACAUAGCAGGGGGUUGGAACUGGAUGAGCGUUGUGGUCCUUUGCAACCCAGGCCAUUCUGUGAGUCUAUGAAAGUCAGGAUUUCUGUGAUUGCUGCUGAAAUCCUCAAUUUUUUUUGUGGUCAAUGAACGUGGAGCCCACCAAAAGUCACCUCAGAAGUCAUGGCUACCUAUGACUACCUGGCAUUCCCACACCAGGAC
rnacentral:lncRNA from 1 species